rnacentral:rRNA from 1 species
GACGAACGCUGGCGGCGUGCCUAAUACAUGCAAGUCGAGCGGACGGAUGGGAGCUUGCUCCCAGACCGUCAGCGGCGGACGGGUGAGUAACACGUGGGCAACCUGCCUGUAAGACUGGGAUAACUCCGGGAAACCGGGGCUAAUACCGGAUAACUCUUUCCCUCACAUGAGGGAAAGCUGAAAGAUGGCAUCUCGCUAUCACUUACAGAUGGGCCCGCGGCGCAUUAGCUAGUUGGUGAGGUAACGGCUCACCAAGGCGACGAUGCGUAGCCGACCUGAGAGGGUGAUAGGCCAAACGGGGACUAAGAAACGGCCAAGAGGCAGAGGGGAGGAAGAAGUAGGGAAUGUUGCGCAAUGGACGAAAGGCUGAAGGAGCAAAGCCGCGUGAGUGAGGAAGGUGUUCGGAUCGUAAAACUCUGUUGUCAGGGAAGAACAAGUACCGGAGUAACUGCCGGGAGCGUGACGGUACAUGACCAGAAAGCCACGGCUAACUACGUG